rnacentral:rRNA from 1 species
UGCAGUCGAACGGGAUUCACCUUCGGGUGAUGAGAGUGGCGCACGGGUGAGUAACGCGUAUGCAACCUGCCUUUAACAGGGGGAUAGCCCGGAGAAAUCCGGAUUAAUACCCCAUAGUAUUUAGAUUCCGCAUGGGAUUUAAAUUAAAGCUCCGGCGGUUAAAGAUGGGCAUGCGUGACAUUAGUUAGUUGGUGAGGUAACGGCUCACCAAGACUACGAUGUCUAGGGGUUCUGAGAGGAUGAUCCCCCACACUGGUACUGAGACACGGACCAGACUCCUACGGGAGGCAGCAGUGAGGAAUAUUGGUCAAUGGGCGCAAGCCUGAACCAGCCAUCCCGCGUGAAGGAAGACGGCCCUAUGGGUUGUAAACUUCUUUUGUACACCAAGAAAUGUCCGUACGAGUAUGGAUUUGACGGUAGUGUAUGAAUAAGCAUCGGCUAACUCC